rnacentral:tRNA from 1 species
CGGGGCGUAGCGCAGCUUGGUAGCGCGCCUGCUUUGGGAGCAGGAUGUCGGGUGUUCAAAUCACCCCGCCCCGACCA